UUACAUUAUGGAAAAUAAUUAACUUUAUCACAAUAUGCUAAUAUUUUGAGAAGGACCUGUAAAUGGUAGAUCUGAGAGGAGACAAAAAGGAGCGUAUACCCAAAAGUCCAGCAUUGGCCCCGACCUCACCAUAUUACUACAUUUGUACAGGCGUAUAGUAGUUCUAUAACUAAGACGUUGUCAACUCUGUAUAAAAGUUUGAUUCAGUCGCGGAGCCAAAGGAACUGAAUUACCUGAUUUGAGAAGACAAAUGGUAUGAAAUGUGGAAAACGCAAAUUAAUAACCCACUCAGAAAGAUGGAGGGAAUUUGCUGGGAAGAAUCAAAUGUGAUACAUUAUUACACUCAAAAUUACUAGCAAACAUAUAAGGAUGUUUGCUAGUAAUUUUGAGUGUAAUAAUAUAAGGAUGGGACAGCCAUGCUGGAGAUUAUGUGAUCACAUGAACAUAGACCACACACAUAUUCUGGAAUUGCAGGAAAAUUCUUCCGUUUUGGAAUGGAACUUAUUUGGUUCUCUGUUAGGUCUUGGGAUAUAUUAUUUAUUCCAUUAACAGGACAACUGAUGUAUUUAUUGUAAGCUAUAUAAAAGGAACAGUAUAUACAGGAGACAAAUAUUUAAUCAAAAUCCUCCUUGCUUCAGCCAAGAAAGCUAUAACUAUACUAGAAUGGCUUAAAGCACAUAUAUCAACACAAGAUGAAUGAAAGAAAAUAAUGAAAGAAACACACGACAUGGAGAAACUAACUUACAAAAUGAGACCGAAAGAAGGACGAUUUAAAAAAAUCCGGGGUUAAUAGUUGAAAUCUGAAAAAUGUGAGUGUCGAGGUUUUGGGUUCUGUGUGUAUGUGUUUGUGUUUUGUCUGCACUUUUGUUUUCAGCUUCCAGAUGGUGCAGGAGUUUCUCAGGUGCGCUGGGUGACAGGUGCAACUGAUCUGCUGAUUGCAUUGGAGGAGUAUUUUAGCAGGAGACUGCCAGCACUUCUUUGCCAUAGUGUUUGCCUUCAGUGGUAACAAACUCAGCCAUCUCUAAGCUAUGCUUCGUUCUUUGCCUCUAAGCUGAUAUUGUUUAUGUUCCUUCGCAGGCAGAAACCAGAACCUACUGAUCAUUCUUUGUUGAACUUUGACUUCAGUUCCAAACGUUUCUGGACGAUCAGGAUUACCUACAGAAGCGUACCCUGUCCACCCUCCAACUCAAGUACCUGAACAUUGAAUUAACUCCUGAACUCACCAGAACUCACUCUACAGCUCAAGUAGAACCAUCUGGAUUUCUCUGCCUCGGUCCCGACUCCCUCUACCCCUGGCGACCUGACUAUACUCUCUUAUUGGCGAUUCUACCGUUCACGUUCCAGUAUCACUUUGUAAAUAAAACAUCUUUCACUAAUUCAGUUGUGUUUCUGAGUGUUCUUGUGUAUGUGGGUCAGAUCUAUCUCGAACAAAAUGACAGUGAGCUAAGGAAAAUAUGUAAAUUUGGGUCAGUACCUGCAGACAAUGUUUUUGUUUACAUGGUUUCUCUAUUUUCUUUUACUUAUUUGUGUUAAUUUGUUUGUACAUUAACAGUUAAAUACUAGUUGGAAAGAUUGUAAAAUUUGUUUAGUAAGUUGAAACGGAAAUAAAAAUUUACAAAAAAAAGUAUUCAGACUGGUGUGGGACUUGCACACCAUAUUAAUAGUACAUUAUAAAAGUACACACUGUGCCUUCUCACACAACUUACCAAAAUACAACUGACGCUUUUAAUCACAGACCCAACAAUUGUCAUACAAGCAGUGGGGGCCAUGCAAAUUACUGAGUAACAUUUUGAGUUGCUAUUACAUUACAGCAGAUUAGACUAACCUGCUGCAUCGAUGUUUCAAUUUUGAUAUCCUGGGGAUAUUGGAUUAAGCUCUCUGUGGGCUCAUCAUUACUAUUUUACUGAAAUUAUGUUGCAUCCUUUACGUAUUCAGUAUCAGUAUGGAUAUCCAGCAUUAUGUUCUAUCCAGGGGGUUUCUCCACACCAAACUGUAUAUACCUGUAGUCAUGGAAGUGAUUGUAACACCUGAAUUCAUUGAUAUUGUGGUGUGAUCCAGUAUGUUAGAAGCUCAGUGAUCAGAAGAAAAUAUAUUUUACAUGAAUGAGCAAGUCAGGCAGUAAUAAAGUUUAUCAUCCCUUUGUCAUGUAUCAGCUAUAUGCUAUUUCGAUGGCUGCAAACUGAAACCCAUGUCUAGAAUCACACUGGUAGAAUUUAUUAUAUAUCCCUCAGCCCUAUUUGGAGUAUGUUGUAUAUGAGACAGGAAAACCUGAAGGAUGCCAUUAUGCUCUGAUGCUAGCUGUGCUACAAAGUAGCAGAGUAGUACUACAAACCUGGCAAUUAACACAUAAGGACCAAUGCUCUAAUGUUUUAGAUGGCUGUAUAAAGAUUGUGACAGUCUGGGUACUUCCAGUUGAAUAUUUUUCACACAUAAACUCACCGCCACGCCCCAAUUCUUUUUGAGUAACGUCCUCCGGCAUGGGAGGGGGCCAGCCGAACGUUUCCGGUGCGAACGCCCCACUGUCAUACCAGUGUAAAGAGGGAAGAUUUUCUGACAACUCAUCUAACUCCCAAGCAGGAAGCCUUACCCGCAUCAGUACAGUGAGUCCAACCACUGGCUAGUCUCUGCGGUUGCUGUUCCAGGCUAAACUUCGUAUGCUGCUGAGCACAGUUUGUUGUGCUGCUGUGCACAGGUUGCUUGGGUUUCUCUUCAUGAGGUUCAGGUGUUUCAAGGGAAAAACAUUUCAGAAUGAGCUUAUAUGUCAGGAGAGAGACCUAUCUGGCACCACAGACUUUCAUUAUAUGUAACUGUCACAAGGUUAGUAACGCUCCUGUAUCUAACAGUGAAGGAGUAAAUAUGUCAGAUGGCACAAUCUUACAUGAUAUCUUUAAAUAAUGGCAACUUACUGAGCCUAUUACGGUGGUCUGAGUCCCUCCAUCAAGAUGUGUUUCACCAUCGAGCAAUGGUUCCAUCCUAGAUACAGCAAACAACAAUAUUUGCUUUGUUCUGAUUUUAAAAUGCCUUUCCUCUCUU